AACUUUUAAACAUGCAAGUCGAGCGGUAACAGACAUAAAGAUUCAGCUUGCUGAAUCCGGUGCUGACGAGCGGCGAACGGGUGAGUAACGCGUAGGAAUCUACCCAGUAGCGGGGGAUAGCCCGAGGAAACUCGGAUUAAUACCGCAUACGCCCUGAGGGGGAAAGGGGGCAAUUUAUUGCUCUCACUAUUGGAUGAGCCUGCGUAAGAUUAGCUUGUUGGUAGGGUAAUGGCCUACCAAGGCGACGAUCUUUAGCUGGUCUGAGAGGACGAUCAGCCACAUUGGGACUGAGACACGGCCCAGACAUCUACGGAUGGCAGCAGUUAAGAAUAUUGGACAAUGGGGGCAACCCUGAUCCAGGUAUACCGCGUGUGUGAAGAAGGCCCUAGGGUUGUAAAGCACUUUAAUCAGAGAAGAAGCAUUUUAAGUUAAUACCUUAAUUUGUUGACGUUAACUGAAGAAUAAGGACCG
rnacentral:rRNA from 1 species